rnacentral:tRNA from 1 species
GGCGACGUACCCAAGUGGCUAAGGGAGCGGUCUGCAAAAUCGCUAUGCACCGGUUCGAAUCCGGUCGUCGCCUCAA